UACGUAGGGUGCGAGCGUUGUCCGGAAUUAUUGGGCGUAAAGAGCUUGUAGGCGGUCUGUCGCGUCUGCUGUGAAAAAUCCGGGGGCUCAACCCCCGGACUUGCAGUGGGUACGGGCAGACUAGAGUGUGGUAGGGGAGACUGGAAUUCCUGGUGUAGCGGUGGAAUGCGCAGAUAUCAGGAGGAACACCGAUGGCGAAGGCAGAUCUCUGG
rnacentral:rRNA from 1 species